CCCACUUUGUUUUGCAUUCUGUGAUGUCCUUAGCAGAAUAUGCCAUGCUUGCAUCUAUCUAGCAAGUUGGAACAGUGAUAGCAAUUUUAAUUAAUCACUGCAAGGUUCUAUUUUGCAUGAAGAAGGCUCAGCCUCUUUGACCCAUUAAUUAAAUUGUGGAAUUUACAGUUUCUUGAAAAUGUUGAAGAAGCAAAGGAUUAGACAGAUCUGAGCUUUAUUUGAAAUGGAAAUUGAGACACACUGGACUGCAGAUAGCGAAGAGAGGAGUGACAUGUUAAAAAGGGCUUCAAGUUCAACAGCCAUCUACUAAGCCAAAGCCAACUAGAGGCAGGAAUUUUCCGUGACAGAAAUAAUACAGCAGCAGGAGUCAAUGGGUUAGAUCUUCGGGGCUAAAUCAGCCAAGUGCCUUUAAACCCUGCAGAAACUCCGACUUCCACAGCGAGAAUUUCGUUAUCACUUUUUCUUUUGGUUUCCAAGAUUUUCAGAACAUUUUCUGUUUCUCUUCUGAAGAGCUCCUAAGCAUUUGACCUGCAAAUGUUUUCUCUGGAGCUACAGAAGUCCUUAUAGAAAAGAUUAAAACUAGGACCUGUUUAUCACUGAAAAGAAGUGCCCAUCUGAGGUUCUUCCUAUCAGCACAGGAGGCAGAGACAAGAUUUCUAAUGAACCAUUCAGUACAAGCACUUUGAAACUACCUAAUCACCAACAGAUUUCACCUGCAACAGACUUAGGUAAAUACUCAGAACUUUCCAGCUGGAGAUGCAUGUUAUGAAGAGCAUUAAGAGCUGCAGAAUGGGUACUGUAAAGUUUUUACUAACCAGUUUUUGAAAUGAGAUGCUUCUAGCUCAGGAGAGCAUUGAAGGCAUAUUUAAAUCCUCCUGAAAACUCUAAGCCAGUGCUUAAGUGCUUUUGGAAAUCAUCACUGGGGAACACAUCGUUUCUUAACUGCUUUGAAGAAAGUGCUGUAAUGUCAGUGCAUCAGCAGAGGAGGAAGUGCUACUUGUGGGUAAAAUUCAGCUUACGAUGGAAGAGUCACAGUGCUAAUGAUGGAACCAGAAAAUAAUCUGAAGCUUUUUGCCAGACAUACUGAUGUGAUGAAUGAAUUAACCAAGGAGCAUAAUACCUCAUUGCCAACUGAGAGCAAAUCCUUGAAGUUCAGUGCUAUUCCACUUAAAAUAUUUCAGUUGGAUCUCAAACCAAGAUGUGCAGAAGAAUUGUUACCACUGAAGAAGCUGGAUUUUUUGUCAAGAAGGAGACUCGUGAUUCCUUUGCUUCAGGGAAAUUUAAAUGAAGAAACGUUCAAUUUGGAGGUUUGCCUAUUCUACUUGGAAAAUGUUAAAAAAUGGGUUGAAGAAAACAAGAAGAGCCAGAAAAGACUGCAAAGGAAAAUUGCCAUAUCUUUAGUCAAGUUUAUAAAUCUUUCCCUGGGACUUUUUGACAAAUGACUGCCCACCAACUUUGUGAGAUUUCUCCUGGACAUGCCUCAGAAACUUCUGGCAUUUUGCCAUGCAGGUUUGCCCGCUAGAAUUUCUCAAAUGUUUUUUUUUUUAAUUUUUCAUGGGAGGAGGUUGUUUUCUCAAGGAGUGUUGGUGCCUUUUCCAUCCAGUCUCUCUCACUUUUCUUAAGUACAGACUCGCUUACAUUCAGAUUAAUUUUGGGCAAGGUCAGGAGUAGUGAAAUGGCCAUAAGCAUAAUGCUGUUGCUGCUGUUUUCACAGGCCAUCUCUGAGAGCAGCUGAAGUUGCAUGUUUUUCUGGCUCGGUUGAGAAGUAAUUUGGAAUAGAGCUCCUUUGACUCAAGCAUUGAAGCCAGACCUAAAUGCUUGAGUGAGAUUUCCACACUAACAUAAACUGAAGCACAUCCAAACAUCUGCUGCUCAACAUGCCUGAGAGUUAUCUUUCACCCUCUUGCCAGAUUCCUUGGUGCCACAUAUAGAUUUGUAGUUCCCUCUGUGGAUUUCUUUUCCCUUUUCCUCUGCUGUGCUCUUCUGAUCAUCCUCUAAUGGACCUGAACCUCUGUCAAAUACAUCUCUUUGCCACUGUGGGCAAACCAUUUGUCUUGAAUGGUGUAGAUCUGCUUGUUUUUUCCCAGAGGACUCUCUUGUUGACUACUAAUACAUGGUUUCUGGUACUGGAGCAUGUGCAGGACAGUGAUGUUCUUGUAGAGUGGAGCUCAUUAAGGAUAUUGAUUUGGGGUGAACUAUGGUAACUGGAUUGAACUGUUGCUCCCAAAUCCCUGUGUCUACGUCACUUUGCUCCAAGGAAUUGCUGAGACACCCAAGGAAAGAGUGUAGCUGCUCUAGGCUACCAUUUUCAGUUGAUGAGGUGAGCAGAACAUCAGAGAAUGGUCUGGGGGUGUCCUGUAGUGCUCUUAGCUGUUUUUGUUGACUCAUCUCCUGAUGUGGCUGCCUUUGGUAGUCACAGAGAUGUGCCUGGGAGGGAUGCAGACAGAUGAGGCAACAGGCAGAGCAGAGAGCUUCAGAUGAGUUAUUUGCAUCCAGACAAGGAACAGGGAAAAUAAAAGGACCUUGUGUCACAGUUCUGGGGCUCUUGGGGUUGUAUCAUACUGUCACUGUAGAGUUCAGUGGAGGACAGUUGUUUUGCUUUAAAAAUGGGAGAGUGAACAGUUUUAUUUAACUAAGAGUUAUGGAGAAGUCCAGUAUCCAUCUGACAACAAUCAUGGCAAGAGAAAAGGAUGUUUUUUGCUGCAUGAGCUGUAUGUGAUUAUAGUUCUCUUCUUCCUUUACCUAUGCAGGUAGCAUACAUGUCAGCACGUAGCUUCAAAACCUACCAUCUUCAUGAGUUGUGUUUAUAGUUAUACACUUAUUAAAUGAUUGUGUGCACUCGUACUCAGACUAUUAUAAAUCCAUUACUUUCCUGAGGCCAUAGGAAAUGGUUUUAAAAUGUGAAGCUUUUCUGCAGGGAAUUGAGAGAGAGCAAUACUAAAGCAGUGUACUUGGUUCACACAGAUCAAUGUAGUGCAAUAACUGGGAUGAGAAACCAAGCUUAAAACAUUACCAAUGUGAUUGGAUGAAAGCUUAACAUGGCUUUGAGUAAUGUCUCAUUAUAAGUAAAAUCUCUUAAAACACCUUUGGGGGGGAAGACAAAGCAAACUGCUUAGCAGCAAAUCAUAAAAGAGAAAUGAUGGUGCUUGCACUUGAAACUGAACUCUGGGUAGUACAAGCACAGUAGCAGUGAAACAUCAAGUUUGGCUGCCUUAUUUUCAAAAUGCUGGUGGUGAUGUUAGCCCAAGUCUUGGGAUGGGAGAUAUCAGGAGGUUUUAGAUAUUUUUGAUCUUUCCAUGAGAACUUUCAUGAAGACAUUCUCUUCAUCACUAACUUAAUUUCUCUGUCUGGAAAAAAAGUUUUCCAAAACUGACAUCUUACUAUCUGAGAAGAGAAAACAACAUCAACAACAACAAACAACCACAAAGAAAUCAUUAUUUCAGUUGAGAUUUAGAAUUGGUAAGUUUAGUUCCCACUGGGUUCAAACACUCAGGCACAAAUGUUACCCAACGUGCAUUGGAUUUACCUGCGUUUUUAAGACCACGGUUUAAUAGUUCAUCCCAGCACAGAAAGGCACACUGUACAGCUUAGUGUCGUCUUAGUUUUUUAUGUGAAUUUAUAUUAAGCUGAAAAUAAAUAUAAAUGACAGGAAAUGUUUCCUCUUUAAAGCACUGAGCCACUUACAGGAAUAAUUUUGAGGGAAAGGAGAAGGGAGGGUUUAUAAUAUCUCAGACGUCUGUCAUUAUCUGGCUUGUACAGCUGGAAGCUCACUUGUGAUUAAGUCAGUAAAAUGAAGAUGGUCGUCACUGAAAUGGUGGCCAUUCAUUUGCCCAAUUUUAAGUUAAGAAUAUUAGCACUGAUUAGCAAUGGAUAGGAAAUUCCUGAAAAGAUCCUGUCUGGGGAAGUGGAUUACAUGUCCAUCCCAGGAAGGACAUUGAAGAAUGCAGUUUCUCUGAAAAGCAUAAAACUGUAUUUAAAAAAAAAUAAUAAUAAUUCAAAGAAAUAAAAUAUCAUCCACUCAUCAGAUCUUCAGUCAGCUUUUCAGCACUCCAUUUAUUAUUAUUUGCCAUCUGGUGUAGCCCUUUAUCUCCCAAAGCAACAGGGAGUAUUCUUCUGGAGCAGGCACACAGCAGCGGCCGUCAUAUGCUAACCGCUUCUGACUGGCGAUCCUAGGGAGCCUGAUUGUUUGAGGCAAAUCAUCUCUCCAAGGACUGCAUGAUUUAUUCCCCGCAUUUGGGUUGCAAGGUUUUUUGGAGAGGGAAAAAAAAAUUCUUCCAUGUCAUUUACAAUGGACCUCACUCCAAUGAAUGAACAUCUUCUUGCAUAAUAGGAGUGCAGCUUAUCAAAUAAUAAAACCCUGCCACUCUAAAUUGCUGGGAACGGGAACAAUCCAGCCGACGUUAAUUCCUAUGUCCACUUUGUCAUGCCAUGAAUUCUUCAGUGGUUUGUGUGUGUGUAGGACCAUGCCUGUCAGCAGGGAAGAGCUUUGGUGUGCUACAGGAAAGCUGCAGAGACAAGUGGGUGUGAUUUCUCAGUUUCUGCUCCUUAAUAUGUUAUCCAAUUUUAAGUGCUACCUAAUGUUCAUUAGGGACGAACAGAAAGCCAUAUGGCCUAACAAAUGUAAUACGUAGUUGAGCAUAUUGGCAGAAUGACUCCCUUACUUCUGUCUCCUAUUCCACUCUCUGCCUGGUGGAGAGAAUAGUGAGGAGGCUGGUUUCACAAUGUUGAGGAGAUGACAGACUUGAUAACUUUAGUAUGGAGUGUUUCCAGAGCUUAACAAUGAAUGGCACAAGCUUUUUAAGGGGAGAAAAAAUAUGCACAGAUUUUCAAACACGUCAGCAGGUUGCAAAGAAUGUGCUGAUUAGCCAUUUGUAUAUUUGACUAGGGACAGUUGGAACUUGGGAAAUCUCAGCUUAAUUUCUAUCACUGCAACAUUUUCCCCGUCUGACCUUGGCAUGCUAUUUUAUCUCUCCAUGUUUGGAUUUCCGUACUUUCUCCCUAGUAAGACUUGGUAUAUGUAUGCUUAAACAGAGGAUAAUGUUUCAAAUGAAUGUUUUCUUGGCCAUCUAGAGAUAGUGACUGCAGAUUAUCUGACAUGUUAGGGGAGCAUUGUGUCCAUCCUAUGGUGCUGGACAUGUCUGUCCUGGAGCCUGGCGUCCUCUCAUGGCAAUGUUUGCCCAGCAGCCCUCCUGCCCUCACAUCUUGCCUCCCAUCUCAAGCUGUGGUCUUGAACCUCUGAUGCAGUGUUUCUUUCUGUGAUCCAAAGUGAUGGAGUACCCACUUCCCACCUUUUGGAAAAUCUGACUUUAAGAUGUGCUGGUAAAUUUGAGGCUUUAUUUUCUUCAACACCUAUACAUUCUGCUGUUAUUUUCUCUAUAGCCAAAACAAGGCUGCAAAGAAUUUUGGGCAGCUUUUACUUUAUCGAAUCGACUGUGCUCAUCUGUAUUUUCAAGCCCAGGGUUUGAAUGUGUGCCCUCCAUAGCCACCAAAUGCCAGCAGGAGUGCACUUACACUGUUUCAUUCCCACAGCAGUAGCACGGAUCAGUAAAUUUGAGCAAAAGACCUAUUUGAAACAGAGCCCACAAAAAAAAAAAAAAAAAAAAAAUUAAAAAAAUGACAUCAGCAACAGUAAACUACUCUUGCAAAUAACAGCAAUGAAGUCUUAAAGCAAAGGUUGUCUGUGUCUAUAUAGAGGCAAUACUUAGUGUCUGUGUGAUAUACAAGGCAGCUUAUCUCUUUGAGAGCAGGAGACUAUAAAAAUACAAUUGCCAGAACGAAAGAAAAUUGAAGCUGAUUGCCAUAGCAACAAAAGAAUUACAUUGAUGAAACAGAAGCACAUAAAAUCCUUGUAUGCUACAUUAAAGACAAAGCAAUCUAAAGUAAACAAGAGUGGAAUGGAAUUUGUUUGGCUGGAGCUGGAAGUGACAAAUCUAUCCAGCCGAUGGAGGAAGAAAUGAUCCCACACGCAGGGAAGGAGCAGUCCUUUGAGGGCAGGGGUUCACCCCUCAAUUUCUUUCAGGAGCAAGAACUGAGGGACAUAAGACUGUGGGUGCAGGGGACUUCCCAAGCUCUGAAGACAGAUAGUGGAAGGAGAUUCCCAAUCACGUGGUCAGUAACAUCCACCACCUCGCACCUGUCCUUUUGCACAGAUCUCCUGACUUUCUCCCUGAGUUUCCAAGGGAGAUUCCUCUCCCUUGAUGAAUUUCUCUCAGCUGGAUGAAACAAGCUGCUAAUGUGAAAAGGAGUUUUCUCUUUACAGCUGCUUUUCUUCAUAGAAUCAUGGAAUCAUUAAGAUUGGAAAGACCACUAAGGUCAUCCAGUCCAGCCAUCAUCCCAUCAGCAACACAACUCUAAAUGAUGUCAUUCAGUGUGACAUCUCCUCUUUUCUUGAAAACCUCCAGGGAUGGUGACUUCACCACCUCACUGGGCAGCCUGUGCAGCACUGCACUUUUGCCCUUUCAAUCAAAGUGACAUGGUGAGAUUGCAGGCACUGCAGCAGAACCAGCAGAU
ensembl:lncRNA